rnacentral:rRNA from 1 species
UACGUAGGGUGCAAGCGUUAAUCGGAAUUACUGGGCGUAAAGCGUGCGCAGGCGGUUGUGCAAGACAGAUGUGAAAUCCCUGGGCUUAACCUGGGAACUGCAUUUGUGACUGCACGGCUAGAGUGUGUCAGAGGGGGGUAGAAUUCCACGUGUAGCAGUGAAAUGCGUAGAUAUGUGGAGGAAUACCGAUGGCGAAGGCAGCCCCCUGGGAUAACACUGACGCUCAUGCACGAAAGCGUGGGGAGCAAACAGG